UACGGAGGGUGCGAGCGUUGUCCGGAAUCACUGGGCGUAAAGGGCGCGUAGGCGGUGGCCUAAGCGUGCGGUGAAAGCCCGGGGCUCAACCCCGGGUCGGCCGUGCGAACUGGGCCACUCGAGCACUGUAGAGGCGGGCGGAAUUCCGGGUGUAGCGGUGGAAUGCGUAGAGAUCCGGAAGAACACCGGUGGCGAAGGCGGCGACCUGGGUAGAUACUGACGCUGAGGUGCGAAAGCGUGGGGAGCAAACAGG
rnacentral:rRNA from 1 species